CAAUGCCGCCGUGAAUACGUUCCCGGGUCUUGUACACACCGCCCGUCACGCCACGGGAGUUGGGUUCAUCGGAAGUCCCCGGGCCAACCCGCAAGGGAGGCAGGGGCCGAUGAUGGGCCCAGCGACUGGGGCGAAGUCGUAACAAGGUAGCCGUAGGGGAACCUGCGGCUGGAUCACCUCCUUU
rnacentral:ncRNA from 1 species